GACGAACGCUGGCGGCGUGCUUAACACAUGCAAGUCGAACGGAAAGGCCCUGCUUUUGUGGGGUUCCCGAGUGGCGAACGGGUGAGUAACACGUGAGUAACCUGCCCUUGAUUUUGGGGUAACAUCAGGAAACUGGGGCUAAUACCGGAUCGGAGCCCACGCUGCAGGGUGGGGGUUGGAAAGUUUCGGCGGUUGGGGAUGGACUCGCGGCUUUUCAGCUUGUUGGUGGGGUAGUGGAUUACCAAGGCUUUGACGGAUAGGCGGCCUGGGAGGGUGACCGGCGACAUUGGUACUGAGGCAGGGCGCAGAGUCCAACGGGGGGCAGCGGUGGAGAAUAUUGCACAAUGGGCGGAAGCCUGAGACAACAACGCCGCGUGCGUGAUGACGGCUUGCGGGUUGUAAACCGCUUUCGCCUGUGACGAAGCGUGAGUGACGGUAAUGGGUAAAGAAGCACCGGCUAACUACGUG
rnacentral:rRNA from 1 species